rnacentral:rRNA from 1 species
GAUGAACGCUAGCGGCAGGCCUAACACAUGCAAGUCGAGGGGCAGCACAUAAAGUGGUUUACUACUUUUGGUGGCGACCGGCGGACGGGUGCGUAACGCGUAUGCAACCUGCCUCCAACAGGGGGAUAACGGAGAGAAAUUUCCACUAAUACCCAAUAAUAUCAGAAUCGGCAUCGGUUUUGGUUGAAAACUCCGGCGGUUGGAGAUGGGCAUGCGUUGUAUUAGAUAGCUGGGGAGGUAACGGCUCACCAAGUCAACGAUACAUAGGGGGACUGAGAGGUAGCCCCCCACACUGGUACUGAGACACGGACCAGACUCCUACGGGAGGCAGCAGUGAGGAAUAUUGGUCAAUGGGGGCAACCCUGAACCAGCCAUGCCGCGUGCAGGAAGACGGCUCUAUGAGUUGUAAACUGCUUUUACAAGGGGAUAAAUCGGUGUACGUGUACACCGUUGAAGGUACCUUGGGAAUAAGGAUCGGCUAACUCCGUGCCAGCAGCCGCCGCGG